UCCCAGACUCCUACGGGAGGCAGCAGUGAGGAAUAUUGGUCAAUGGCCGAGAGGCUGAACCAGCCAAGUCGCGUGAGGGAAGACGGCCCUACGGGUUGUAAACCUCUUUUGUCGGGGAGCAAAGCGAGUCACGUGUGACUCAUUGAGAGUACCCGAAGAAAAAGCAUCGGCUAACUCCGUGCCAGCAGCCGCGGUAAUACGGAGGAUGCGAGCGUUAUCCGGAUUUAUUGGGUUUAAAGGGUGCGCAGGCGGCGUGUCAAGCAAGCGGUAAAAUAGCGGGGCUCAACCCCGUCGAGCCGUUUGAACUGGCGCGCUUGAGUUCAGGCGAGGUAGGCGGAAUUCGUGGUGUAGCGGUGAAAUGCAUAGGUAUCACGAAGAACUCCGAUUGCGAAGGCAGCAUACCGGCGCCCAACUGACGCUGAAGCACGAAAGCGUGGGUAUCGAACAGGAUUAGAUACCCGGGUAU
rnacentral:rRNA from 1 species